AUUGAACGCUGGCGGCAGGCCUAACACAUGCAAGUCGAACGAGUGGCGGACGGGUGAGUAAUGUCUGGGAAACUGCCUGAUGGAGGGGGAUAACUACUGGAAACGGUAGCUAAUAACGCAUACCAUCAGAUGUGCCCAGAUUGGAUUAGCUAGUUGGUUGGGUAACGGCUAACCAAGGCGACGAUCACUAGCUGGUCUGAGAGGAUGACCAGCCACACUGGAAAUGAGACACUGUCAAGACUCCGACGGGAGGCAGCUGUGGGGAAUAUUGCACAAUUGGCGCAAGCCUGAUGCAGCCAGGCCGCUUGUAUGAAGAAGGCCUUCGGGUUGUAAAGUACUUUCAGCGGGGAGGCGUUACCCGCAGAAGAAGCACCGGCUAACUCCGUGCCAGCCGCCGCGGUAAUUC
rnacentral:rRNA from 1 species